rnacentral:rRNA from 1 species
AAUAGAUACCCCGGUAGUCCACGCCGUAAACGAUGUCGACUUGGAGGUUGUUCCCUUGAGGAGUGGCUUCCGGAGCUAACGCGUUAAGUCGACCGCCUGGGGAGUACGGCCGCAAGGUUAAAACUCAAAUGAAUUGACGGGGGCCCGCACAAGCGGUGGAGCAUGUGGUUUAAUUCGAUGCAACGCGAAGAACCUUACCUACUCUUGACAUCCAGAGAACUUAGCAGAGAUGCUUUGGUGCCUUCGGGAACUCUGAGACAGGUGCUGCAUGGCUGUCGUCAGCUCGUGUUGUGAAAUGUUGGGUUAAGUCCCGCAACGAGCGCAACCCUUAUCCUUUGUUGCCAGCGGUUCGGCCGGGAACUCAAAGGAGACUGCCAGUGAUAAACUGGAGGAAGGUGGGGAUGACGUCAAGUCAUCAUGGCCCUUACGAGUAGGGCUACACACGUGCUACAAUGGCGUAUACAAAGAGAAGCGACCUCGCGAGAGCAAGCGGACCUCAUAAAGUACGUCGUAGUCCGGAUUGGAGU